rnacentral:rRNA from 1 species
GUAAGAACUUACCCCUUGGUGGUGAAUACCUCUUCCAAGGACCAGCUAAUACAGCAUAAAACCGCAGGGUAAAAGCCCUUUACCGGGCGCCGAGGGAGAGGCUUGCGGCCUAUCAGUUAGUUGGUGGGGUAAUGGCCUACCUCUACUACGACGGGUACGGGACAUGAGAGUCUGACCCCCCCAAAUGGAACUGAAACCCGGAC